CUAGUUGCUACGAAAGGGCACUCUAGAGAGACUGCCGGUGACAAACCGGAGGAAGGUGGGGAUGACGUCAAGUCCUCAUGGCCCUUAUGGGUAGGGCUUCACACGUCAUACAAUGGUGCAUACAGAGGGUUGCCAAGCCGCGAGGUGGAGCUAAUCCCAGAAAAUGCAUCGUAGUCCGGAUCGUAGUCUGCAACUCGACUACGUGAAGCUGGAAUCGCUAGUAAUCGCGGAUCAGCAUGCCGCGGUGAAUACGUUCCCGGGUCUU
rnacentral:rRNA from 1 species